CCUACGGGAGGCAGCAGUGGGGAAUAUUGCACAAUGGGCGAAAGCCUGAUGCAGCAACGCCGCGUGAGCGAUGAAGGCCUUCGGGUUGUAAAGCUCUGUCUUCGCUGACGAUAAUGACGGUAAGCGAGGAGGAAGCCACGGCUAACUACGUGCCAGCAGCCGCGGUAAU
rnacentral:rRNA from 1 species